GAAGUUUGAUCUUGGAAAACUGAUGGAGGCAUGUAUUCUGUUCUUCUGUCUGUUCCUGUAUUACUCUUUUGGAUCAUCAAGUGAAAUGUGUUUUUGAUACGUUGGAAAACUGAUGGAGGUUCAUGGUGAUUAUUCAGAGGAUGUAGGUGUGAAGUCGGAGAGGCCAGCUGAUGAAACAAUGGCUGAGGCGCCUGCUGAAGCUACUGCAUGAGCUUGAAAUCAUUUUUAUUUUUGCUAUUUAUUGAGUUAUUGUUGAUCUCCAUUUUUUUUUUAAAUUGCGGAACGUUAGCAUGUUUUUUGUUUAGCUGAGAUUCAGAGAUUCAGAGUGGUUCUUUUGAGGAUCUGUUUUUGCAUUUUAGUCAAAUAGUUGGUUACUUGUUUGCCCAAAAUUAUAAACACAUUUACAUAUUUUCCUUUAUUUGAUUUGGAGGUGACUCGAGAUUUUCGUAGAGUCGGAAAUUUUUGGAUAUCAUCUCUCAUGCAAUUGUGUUGGGUAAAACAUUGUUGUCCAAUUGAUCUUUUUG
rnacentral:misc_RNA from 1 species